rnacentral:tRNA from 1 species
GGGCCUGUAGCUCAGGUGGUUAGAGCGCACGCCUGAUAAGCGUGAGGUCGAUGGUUCGAGUCCAUCCAGGCCCA